UCGCUGCCGGCCGUCGGCCGGGGGAGGAAAGUCCGGGCAACGCAGAGCACCACGCAAGCUAACGACUUGAUGGCCGUGAGGUCAUGGAAGCGUAACAGAAAACAACCGCCGGCAAAGGCGUCCGGGUUCGGCCCCGUCCCGCAGAGGAGGAGGUUGCACAAUCCGGAAUUUCCGACCGGUAAGGGUGAAAAGGCGGGGUAAGAGCCCACCGCGGAGGCAGUGAUGUCAUCCGGCCGUACGUCCCGUGGGUUGCAAGACCAUGUAUACCGGCAAUCAAGGGUUGCUCGCCCGAUGCCGGGGGGUAGGUUGCUGGAGGCGGCAGGUGACUGCCGUCGUAGAUAAAUGACAGAGACCCGGGGUUCGCUCCGGGGACAGAACCCGGCUUACAGGGC
rnacentral:RNase_P_RNA from 1 species